AUUGAACGCUGGCGGCAGGCCUAACACAUGCAAGUCGAGCGGGGUUUUCGGACCUAGCGGCGGACGGGUGAGUAAUGCGUAGGAAGCUGCCCGAUAGAGGGGGACACCAGUUGGAAACGACUGUUAAUACCGCACAAUGUCUACGGACCAAAGUGUGGGACCUUCGGGCCACAUGCUAUCGGAUGCGCCUACGUGGGAUUAGCUAGUUGGUGAGGUAAUGGCUCACCAAGGCGACGAUCUCUAGCUGGUUUGAGAGGAUGAUCAGACACACUGGAACUGGGACACGGUCCAGACUCCUGCGGGAGGCAGCAGUGGGGAGUAUUGGACAAUGGGCGCAAGCCUGAUCCAGCCAUGCCGCGUGUGUGAAGAAGGCCUUCGGGUUGUAAAGCACUUUCAGCGAGGAGGAAGGGGUUGUAGUUAAUAGCUGCAACCUUUGACGUUACUCGCAGAAGAAGCACCGGCUAACUCUGUGCCAGCCGCCGCAGUAACAC
rnacentral:rRNA from 1 species